CAUUAUUUCUUAAAGUAUGCUCUAUUUAUUCAUCAAUUUACAUUUCGAGUAUGAGAUUAUAAAUUGAUUUCGUAUUAUCUCAUAUAAAUACUUUCAUUAUUGAUUCGUUUCCGAAAUUGCUUUUGAUUUAUAAUCUUAAUGGUGAAUUAUCUUAUUUCCGAGGUUAUUUCCGGAAUUAUUCUCUAAUUAUAUUUUAUUUCGAUUUGAGACUUUUAAAGGAGUUUCGAAAUGGGAUUUCGAUGGAAUUAUUUCUUGUUUAUUUAUUCGAUCUUUGGUUUUGGCAUUGGGAAUGCCUUAGUAAUGAUUUCGGUUUGAGAAUUGUGAUUUUGUUUGAUCUCGCUUUUCUACUAUUGAUUUGGAGAUACUUUUGGCGUGUGGGACACGUCGUUGGAAAUUCUUUUAUGAGAGAUGGGGGAAGCCUUAUGUAUUUUGGAUUUACUGGAUUUUCGGUUAUGUUUCCCUGUGCCAUACUGAGGGGUGAUUUUAUCAUGCUAGCAUUGAUUUUCCGCCUUUGUGGCGCGGUGAUGGGAUCACCGUAGCCCUUCCGCCUUUGUGGCGCAGGUUACUGUCUCUGUGACAGUAAUUCUGUAGCCCAGUAUCCUAUCGCUACACUUAGUGGCGUAAGGGUAUAUUACGGGAGUUAUGGGAGUUCUUUAGCCUGGGAGGCUAUCACCCAACCAAGCCUGAGUGGCUUAUUCGUAUGGCUAUCAUCUUCCCCUACUUAUACUAUUUUUGACUAGCGGGGACUAGUCUGAGUUUUCUUAACCAGCGGGGCUGGACUUAUAUUUUCGAGUAUUGAAAUUUCAAUCUUUUACUCUGUUGUUGUGACUAGCGGGGCUAGUCGGUUUUCUGGAGUUUAACGUUUUUCGGGUUAUUUUCUUAAGUGUUUUAUAAAUGUUGCAUGCAUCCGGAUUCUUUUUAUAUAUCGAAAAAUGUGGGAAAGUAUGAAGUUUUAUUUUGUUUUAUUCAUAUUAAAUUAUUUAUUUUUGUCCACUCACGCUAACGUGUUUUUUUUCAAUUACUUUCCCCUGGGCCCUUCGGUUUCAAAUGCCCAGUUUGCAGGCGAAAUUAGUUGAGGUCGGGCGUACAUUGGAGUUGAGGCAUAGUCAACAGCCUAGCUUCCGCGGUUGCCUUUGAGUUAGGUUUUGGGUAGCCCAUUUUAGGGGAAGUUCCGCCAAAUUUUUGGUCGAAUUUCUUCUAAGGUGGGCCCCGCAGGGCCACUUCGGAUUUCAGGGUGAAAUCCGGGGUGGGUCCUGUCAGUUUUCGUUCUGGUUUGAAGCCUCUCUGUGACUUGGGCAGUCGUGGGUUUCCGGUUCAAAGGGCGGCGCGAGCUGGCUUUGGAUCCAGGCGGCGACGCAGCAUCAUUGACAGGGUGCGGUUGAUCUUUCUAGGGCAUCGGGGAUCAGUUUCCGCUUUGGAUCGGGUCUGGUGCUUUCGGGGUUCGUUGAUGGCCUCUCAGUGGUGGCAACGUAUUGUUGGCGGGGUUCCUUGAAGCUGGGCGGCGACGACAUGAUUGGCUGAUUGCGACAUGGCGUGGAGGCGAUGGCUGCUUGCGGUGUGUGCGCGUCGAUCUGAGCGUAGGGAGGUGGAGGUGGAAUGAGCUGGGCCAGCUGUUGGGCCUAGGGUGCUGUUUCUUCCUUGGGCUAGUUGGACUGUUCUUUAGUUUUAUUUUAUUUUUUCACCUUGUUCUAGAACCCUAGGUUAGUACUCUCUAAGUUUGUUAGGGAAUUACGAACUUUCGUGCCUCUAGCAAAUCCUCUAGAGUGGUAACGACGGAGGAUUCUCGAGAUAAGGGCUUAGGAAAGUUUUAGGCUUUCCUGGUCUUCUUGCCUAUUACUCGAAAUCUGGUCUUCUACUACUUUCAUCUCAAGUUUUCUCUAGUUGUACACUAAUUGAAGUCUCUAGGCGACUAGGUUUACUAUUCAAUGAGAGGUUAGUAGUGAGGCUUUGAUUUCUUGUAGUUAGGCUCAAUAAGUGAGCACAUGUGUUAACAGUGAAGGUCACCUGUCUUUUGCUUGGCGGCUUGUGCCAUCUAGACUCUUGGUAAUUGACAGCAUUUGAUGUACGUGCCUUCUGGCCAUGGAAUUACUUAUCUAUUUUCUCAAAAAUAAAGAUCGGUCUGAUAUUUUUAUGCCCAUAA